UCAAGGAAUCAACUUCAGCCUUCAUGGCAUUAAGCCAAGGCUCAGCAUCUUUAGAGGUUAACUCCUGAACCUCUUUGAAGCUUGAAGGUUCCCACACCUUCUCUGAGCUACUAAGAACAGCAGUUGCUGUCUUAGCAAACUCAUCAGCAAAUCUCUUUGGAGGUCUGCCCUUCGUGGCCCUCUCAGAUCUGCGUACUAGACGCAAGUCUUCUGGACUCAUCUCCUCUUUCUUAGGAGAAAAGUGACCAAUGGUGAACAGUGGUUCUUCCAGUUCAUUGUCAGACGCAUCAGAUGGUCUGACUGAGGCCUUUGCGCUCUUGUAGUCUGCUGUGUCAUCACUUUCACUGACAUCAGCAGCAGCGCCGCCCACUGAACUGGAAUCCGAACUCUGAUCAUCAUCGUCAUCAUCAUCCUCAGCAGCUUCCUCAGCUUUAGCUGCUUCUUUGACAUCACCUUCAUCCUCCUCUGGGUAACUCUGGAAAAUUCCCACAUUUUCCCCACUUAAGAUUGUACUCAACACUCUUUGUGAACUUAAUGGACUUAGAGUUGGUCAUCCAUACCCUGUAUGCACCCUUUUCGUACCCCAUGAACAAACCAUGUGCCCCACGCUUCCCAAGCUUGUUGCUUUGUGGGGUGUGUACCCACAUGUCAGAACCAAAGAUUCUCAUGUGCUUGAUGUUGGGUUUCUUACCAAACAUCUUCUCAUAGGGAGUACAACCAAUAGGUGAUGACAAUCUGCGAUUAUAAGUGUAAACAUACGAGUUCAAAGACUCCCCCCAAAACUUCUCAGGAGAUUGGCAUCAUGCAACAAUGUUUUCAGUCCUUGCAGCAACAUUUGCUUUGCUUGCUCACAAAUCUCCCAUGGAGAUCCAGGACUUGAGAGGCUAUGCUGGAUUCCCUUCCCAGUCAGGAAAGCUUCAAACUGCCGAGAAGUGAA